rnacentral:tRNA from 1 species
GAGGAUAUAGCUCAAUGGUAGAGCACAUGCUUGGCUUGCAGGAGGUCCUGGGUUCAAAUCCCCAGUACCUCA